GACGUAGGGUGCAAGCGUUGUCCGGAUUUAUUGGGCGUAAAGAGCUCGUAGGCGGUUUGUCGCGUCUGCUGUGAAAACCCGAGGCUCAACCCCGGGCCUGCAGUGGGUACGGGCAGACUAGAGUGCGGUAGGGGAGACUGGAAUUCCUGGUGUAGCGGUGAAAUGCGCAGAUAUCAGGAGGAACACCGGUGGCGAAGGCGGGUCUCUGGGCCGUAACUGGACGCUGAGGAGCGAAAGCGUGGGGAGCGAACAGGA
rnacentral:rRNA from 1 species